rnacentral:rRNA from 1 species
AUUGAACGCUGGCGGCAGGCUUAACACAUGCAAGUCGAGCGGGGGAAGGUAGCUUGCUACUGGACCUAGCGGCGGACGGGUGAGUAAUGCUUAGGAAUCUGCCUAUUAGUGGGGGACAACAUCUCGAAAGGGAUGCUAAUACCGCAUACGUCCUACGGGAGAAAGCAGGGGAUCUUCUGACCUUGCGCUAAUAGAUGAGCCUAGGUCGGAUUAGCGAGUUGGUGGGGUAAAGGCCUACCAAGGCGACGAUCUGUAGCGGGUCUGAGAGGAUGAUCCGCCACACUGGGACUGAGACACGGCCCAGACUCCUACGGGAGGCAGCAGUGGGGAAUAUUGGACAAUGGGGGGAACCCUGAUCCAGCCAUGCCGCGUGUGUGAAGAAGGCCUUAUGGUUGUAAAGCACUUUAAGCGAGGAGGAGGCUACUCUAGUUAAUACCUAGGGAUAGUGGACGUUACUCGCAGAAUAAGCACCGGCUAACUCUGUGCCAGCAGCCGCCGUAA